rnacentral:rRNA from 1 species
GAUGAACGCUGGCGGCGUGCCUAAUACAUGCAAGUCGAGCGAAUGGAUUAAGAGCUUGCUCUUAUGAAGUUAGCGGCGGACGGGUGAGUAACACGUGGGUAACCUGCCCAUAAGACUGGGAUAACUCCGGGAAACCGGGGCUAAUACCGGAUAACAUUUUGAACCGCAUGGUUCGAAAUUGAAAGGCGGCUUCGGCUGUCACUUAUGGAUGGACCCGCGUCGCAUUAGCUAGUUGGUGAGGUAACGGCUCACCAAGGCAACGAUGCGUAGCCGACCUGAGAGGGUGAUCGGCCACACUGGGACUGAGACACGGCCCAGACUCCUACGGGAGGCAGCAGUAGGGAAUCUUCCGCAAUGGACGAAAGUCUGACGGAGCAACGCCGCGUGAGUGAUGAAGGCUUUCGGGUCGUAAAACUCUGUUGUUAGGGAAGAACAAGUGCUAGUUGAAUAAGCUGGCACCUUGACAGUACCUAACCAGAAAGCCACGGCUAACUACGUGCCAGCCGCCACCGUAA